rnacentral:rRNA from 1 species
AACUGAAGAGUUUGAUCAUGGCUCAGAUUGAACGCUGGCGGCAGGCUUAACACAUGCAAGUCGAGCGGGGGA